rnacentral:pre_miRNA from 1 species
UCUUAUGGAUGAGCAAAGAAACUGGUUCCUUAAGACGGAAUCUACUCCUGGUGAAGAUACUGUGAA